AUGAACCUCAGUUUACUAUGCAGUGCGGCAUUUUGUUUCCUGCAGGCAGGUCCAAUGAGUGCUGCCAUCAAUCAGACUCCCAAAUCGAUGCUCCUGAGAACAGGGCAACAUGUGACAAUGAACUGUACUCAGAAUAUGAAACAUGAUGCCAUGUUCUGGUACCGACAGGAUCCAGGGCUGGGGCUGAGGCUAAUCUACUACUCGUAUGAUGUUGGCAUCACUGACAAAGGAGAUGUCCCUGAGGGGUACAGCGUUUCCAGAACAAACACAGAGGACUUUCCCCUCACUCUGGAGUCAGCCUCCCCCUCCCAGACGUCUGUGUACUUCUGUGCCAGCAAAGGUUUAGAGUCUGCCAGACAUUAUGGGUAGGAAUUCUGAACUAAAACUGAUAGUAUCUUGAACAAGAAUGGAAGAAACCAAUGGACACUCACUCCUGAGUAUCUGUUGCAACCUUCUGUAUUCAACUGACCUCUGGUGCUCAACAUUUUGGAAGACAGCUAGAAACAGAAUGCAGAAAAAAAGCAUCCUUUUGGUCUGUAGUAUCCACGUCACCACCUCACUGCUUGACUACAGCCACCUUCCAAGUAACAUGGUACAAUGGUAGCUACUUUUUUUUCUAAAUUGUACACAAAUGUUUCAUUACCAAGUAUAAUCUGAAAAUGACUGAUGCUGAGAUAAGUUGAUUUAACACCACCCAGCACAAGAUCUCUUCUCCUGGACUAAGACAUCACAUUUGUCUCAACCCUGCCUUGGUCUCUAGGCUCCUCUUCUGAAUGAACCUCUUUCCAAGUGAACUG